rnacentral:rRNA from 1 species
CCAUGAAGCCGGAAUUGCUAGUAAUGGCAGGUCAGCAUACUGCCGUGAAUACGUUCCCGGGCCUUGUACACACCGCCCGUCACACCAUGGGAGUUGGGAAUACCCGAAGCCUGUGAGCUAACGUUAAGAGGCAGCAGUCGAAGGUAGAAUCAAUGAUUGGGGUGAAGUCGUAACAAGGUAGC